rnacentral:rRNA from 1 species
CCUACGGGCGGCUGCAGUAGGGAAUUUUCGGCAAUGGGGGGAACCCUGAUCGAGCAACGCCGCGUGAACGAAGAAGUUAUUCGUAAUGUAAAGUUCUUUUAACAGGGAAGAAAGAGAAAUUUGACGGUACCUGACGAAUAAGCUCCGGCUAACUACGUGCCAGCAGCCGCGGUAAUACGUAGGGAGCGAGCGUUAUCCGGAAUUAUUGGGCGUAAGGGGUGCGUAGAUGGCAUAGUAAGUCUUUUGUAAAAAUGCUGGGCUCAACCCAGUAGGGCAAAAGAUACUGCAAAGCUAGAGUAUGACAGAGGCAAGUGGAACUACAUGUGUAGCGGUAAAAUGCGUAAAUAUAUGUAAGAACACCAGUGGCGAAGGCGGCUUGUUGGGUCGAUACUGACAUUGAGGCACGAAAGCGUGGGGAGCAAACAGGAUUAGAUACCCGGGUAGUC